AUAUGAAACGAUUAAUAAAAAUAAAAGGGAUAUAAGAAUUAUAUAUUAUUUUAGAGAUCUUAUGGUUUCUUCAAAAUAUACAAUUCUUAUGAAUCCUUUUUAUUUUGUACUUUUUUUAUAAAAAGUAAUAAUAUGUAUUAUAUAUUGUUACCUAAUUUAUAAAAAUUGUACGAAAAUUUGGUAUUACAUAAUAAAAAUAUUUUUUAUCAUGUUUUACCAGAUUUUCAUCAACAAUAUUGAAUUCUCAAUAUUUUGCAUAUAUUGUAUAUUUAUAUGAUAAUAUUAUUUUUAGUUAAUUAUGUUUUGAAGAAAAGAUACAUAUAAUAUAUAUUAUAUAUAUUGUAAUUCAUAAAUAUAAU
rnacentral:ncRNA from 2 species